rnacentral:lncRNA from 10 species
GGGUAUCUGAAGAUGUUUGGACCUAGGUUAAAGGAGAACCUCUUAUUUGAGAUGUGCCAAGCAUCACAGUUUUGGAUUUAUUUGGGAAAAAUCAAGGGAGCUGGUGGAAACACACAAUAGAUCUUAAAGCUUCUGUUCCACCUGGCAUAUGUUAACACAAGUAUACUCCUACACCAAGGCAAGUCGCCUACCCAUACCUGGUAUCAACAGAGCCUGGAUGUAUAUGCUUAUCCUUCACAAGAUGCUGCAGUUCACUUGUCUGCAGAUGGGCUUGUAUAAUCCUCUAAAUUAUUUAGAAACUAAAAGUAAGGGAGAAUGAUGACCGGUUCAGAACAAUAGUGCAGUCUACCACACAGAGAAGUGAGUGAGAGAGCUGGGAUAUGACUUCAGGAAUCCAUAUUCUUACUAACUACAUUAUGCUGGUUUUGGAGAAUUGUAGAGGACCUCUGAGGAAUCUUCCUGAGGAAUGCUCUUUGCAAAGCUCUGCUCCAGAGAUGAUGGCGAACAGCACUGAACAAAACAAAAACCUCAGCCACCAUGAAGCUCAGCGACAGACAAUAAACACAUACACAGUUCCAGGAACAGCAAGAGGUCAGUUUGCUUGACUGCAGUAUCCAGGAAGUGAGUGGAGACGUGGACGUCUCAAUCACGCAACACUUUGCUAGCCACUGAAAAGACAUUGGCUUGUUUCUGAGUGAGAUGGAAAACCAUGGAAUGAUACCUCAUGGACUGGAUUACAUUCCUUCCAAAUUUGUAUGUGGAAGCUCUAGCCCCCAGAGUGAAUGCAUUUGGAGGUCAAGCC